AUACGGAGGGUGCAAGCGUUACUCGGAAUCACUGGGCGUAAAGCGCGCGCAGGCGGCUAUUUAAGUUGGAUGUGAAAGCCUACGGCUCAACCGUAGAACUGCAUCCAAAACUAUUUAGCUAGAGUGUGGGAGAGGAAGAUGGAAUUAGUUGUGUAGGGGUAAAAUCCGUAGAGAUAACUAGGAAUACCAAAAGCGAAGGCAAUCUUCUGGAACACUCCUGACGCUGAGGCGCGAAAACGUGGGGAGCAAACAGGAUUAGAUACCCGAGUAGUCC
rnacentral:rRNA from 1 species